AUGCAGCUGAGCGGUAGAGUUUCUUCGGAGACUUGAGAGCGGCGUACGGGUGCGGAACACGUGUGCAACCUGCCUUUAUCAGGGGGAUAGCCUUUCGAAAGGAAGAUUAAUACCCCAUAAUAUAUAGAGUGGCAUCACUUUAUAUUGAAAACUGAGGUGGAUAAAGAUGGGCACGCGCAAGAUUAGAUAGUUGGUGAGGUAACGGCUCACCAAGUCGAUGAUCUUUAGGGGGCCUGAGAGGGUGAUCCCCCACACUGGUACUGAGACACGGACCAGACUCCUACGGGAGGCAGCAGUGAGGAAUAUUGGACAAUGGGUUAGCGCCUGAUCCAGCCAUCCCGCGUGAAGGACGACGGCCCUAUGGGUUGUAAACUUCUUUUGUACAGGGAUAAACCUAUUUACGUGUAAAUAGCUGAAGGUACUGUACGAAUAAGCACCGGCUAACUCCGUGCCAGCAGCCGCGGUAAUACGGAGGGUGCAAGCGUUAUCCGGAUUUAUUGGGUUUAAAGGGUCCGUAGGCGGAUCUGUAAGUCAGUGGUGAAAUCUCACAGCUUAACUGUGAAACUGCCAUUGAUACUGCAGGUCUUGAGUAAGGUAGAAGUGGCUGGAAUAAGUAGUGUAGCGGUGAAAUGCAUAGAUAUUACUUAGAACACCAAUUGCGAAGGCAGGUCACUAUGUCUUAACUGACGCUGAUGGACGAAAGCGUGGGGGAGCGAACAGGAUUAGAUACCCUGGUAGUCCACGCUGUAAACGAUGCUAACUCGUUUUUGGGUUUUCGGAUUCAGAGACUAAGCGAAAGUGAUAAGUUAGCCACCUGGGGAGUACGAACGCAAGUUUGAAACUCAAAGGAAUUGACGGGGGCCCGCACAA
rnacentral:rRNA from 1 species